CAGAAAUACAAGACCUGAUUGACAGCCUGGGAGGAGAAACCUGAGGUGCCUGAGGGCCUGGACUCAUGGGAGCAUCCCAAAACUCUUGUCAGUCCCUUGAGGGGUCUGAUAUCCCAAGAAGUGCCAGUCCCCAUGAGGCUGGCUCAGAAUAAAACUGCAGAGCAGGUGUUGGAAGGGUCAGGCCAAGGAAGAAAAGGAAAAGCUGAAGUGCCUGAGGUGCAGGGAAGCAUUUUGCUCUAUUCACUGACUUUGCUAAGUGCCGGCUCUGUUUUCCCAUUGUGGGCAUCACUGGACAUGGUCCCUCUGGAGGUGCUGCCAGACCAUUGAGUGCUCCAUCCCUGCCCUCCAGACACCCUCUUCCUGGAGGAAAGUCGGCAACUUUGGGUUUAUUCCAUUUUUUCACCCAUGCCAAAGCCUAUUUAAUAUCAGGUUUGCUGUGGGUUUGUUUGGGUUUGGUCCCACAAACGCCUCCAGGGCAGGUCAAUCCAUCUCCCAAGCCAACCCUUGGCUGUGCCUUUGGAGUUUGCAAAAUCCAAGGAGACCUCUGUUGUUCUGCUUGAAUAUCCCUCCCCAUCUCAGUCCCAAAUGGUGGGAAGCCAUUAGGGAAUAUUAUUGAUAAACAAUAGAUGUCUGGUGGAGAUGCUGAUGAUUUUCCUGGUACAAAAGGCUGCUGCAUCCUCUGUGAUAAUUCCCCUUUCUUUUCCUCCUUGUUGGCUUUGUGGCUUUGUGAUUUAUUUGUGGGCUGGCAGGCGUCCAUGGCCCUGCAGGAAAUGGAUGUCUGCUCUUGUGUUUGGGGGGGCCAUAUAAAUGUGUAAUUUUCCCACUACAUUAAUUACAGACGUUUCUCCCUGGCUGGAGCAGCUCCAUGGUUUCUGUGCCCUUUCAGUUUGUUCUCCCCAGCCCAGGCUGAGAGCGUUUCUAGGGAACUCCAGCUCUGACAUCCUCAGCUGAGCUGAGGGAAAGUUAAAGAAUUUGGCCACAAAAACUGUAGAAGGGAAACUCACUGGCCUUUUUUUUACCUGAUAGUAACUCCAGGAUAGCAGCAUGGCCAAGUUUUCCCUGACUAUUCCUCCUGCUGACGCUUUCCUCAAGGAUAAAAGUGGUUUGCCCUAAGAAAACAACCCUCUUGCUUAUGGAAAAGCAAUUGUAGGGCAAUUUACUUUGGAGUAGCUGUGCUACCUAAUUCCUGGCUCCUGGAGAGAGAGCCAGCCGGACUUGGAGCAAAGAAAGGAAACCCGAGGCAAAAUUCAAAGUGGUUAUAUCAGAUUUUGUUGGAGGAAAGGCUGGACAAGCCACAGUGAGGCCCUGGCACAGGGUGCCCAGAGCAGCUGUGGCAGCCCCUGGAUCCCUGGGA